rnacentral:rRNA from 1 species
AUCACGUUUCCCGUAGGUGACCCUGCGUAGGAUCAUUA